GACGAACCGUGCGAACGUUAUUCGGAAUCACUGGGCUUAAAGCGCGUGUAGGCGGGCCGGCAAGUCGGAUGUGAAAACCCGGGGCUCAACCCCGGGCGUGCAUUCGAUACUGCGCGGCUCGAGACAGGUAGGGGAGAUCGGAAUUCCUGGUGUAGCGGUGAAAUGCGCAGAUAUCAGGAGGAACACCGGUGGCGAAGGCGGAUCUCUGGGCCUGUUCUGACGCUGAGGCGCGAAAGCUAGGGGAGCGAACAGG
rnacentral:rRNA from 1 species